AUCCCACCUUAGAGAGAGAGAGAGAGAGAGAGAGAGAGAGAGAGAUUUAGAGACAUAAAGAGAGAGAAACAAUAAGAGAGAGAGUCAUAAAGAGAGAGACAAGAAGUGAGAGAGAAACAAUAAGAGAGAGAGACAUAAAGAGAGAGACAAGAAGUGAGAGAGACAUAAGGAGAGAGAAACAAUAAGAGAGAGAGACAUAAAGAGAGAGAGAAUAAGAGAGAGAGACAAUAAGAGAGAAUAAGAGAGAGAUACAAUAAGAGAGAGAGAAUAAGAGAGAGAGACAUAAGGAGCGAGAAACAAUAAAGAGAGAAUAAGGAGACAGAAACAAUGAGAGAGAGAAUAAGAGAGAGAGACAAUAAGAGAGAGAGAAUAAGAGAGAGAGACAAUAAGAGAGAGAGAGAGGUUGAGAGAUUUUGCCCUAAAGUUAAACAUUUGUAUAUAUUUGUUUCAUGUAAUUCAUGUUUUUUCCCCUGUUUAAGCCUCUCGUGUGUUAGCAGGAUGAAGUGCCUGUAGGUCAUGUGGAUAAAAGCAACAUGGCGGAGUGGUCAGCAGAGUCAGCACUGACUAGCGGUCAGGAGAAUUAGGAACAUCAGAAUGAGAAUGGCUUACAGAUUUCCCUCAGAAAACCAGAUGAGUCAUCUAAUGUUUUCUAGCUAGCUAGUGUUAGCAGCGAAGAUCAAGAAACGACUGAAGAAAAUCCUGUCAGUCAUCACACAACAGCUACCAACCUGCGAGGGUGAAGGGCAACGCGUGGGUCUUCUGAGACCUCUUUUUGAACUGCUGCUCACGUACAAAGUCAGGAGGCGAGAACGUACGCGAACAGACAGACGCUAGAACAGGCUAACAAUGCUCUGAUCAAUGCUGUGAUGUGUGCCAUUUUCUUUCCACCUCAAGACAGAGAUCGGUCUCUCAUGGACUCAUGAUCUGUCAGCGAUUGUGUGAAACCGUAGACAGAUGUACCAGCCUGGAGCCUGAGCGGAGUCUACAUUAGCAAGAGAUCCGCGGGAGACUACAAGCAGCCCAGGACAGAGAAAGCAAACAAACACAGACAGAUAUUAUAUACUGUAAAUAUAUAUUUUAUUUUAUUCACAUCGCUACCUUGGUGUGCAAGGUAACAAACAUCAGAUGUGCUUUUGAGUUGUGCAGAUACGAAUAAAUGCUGAAGAUCUUUUGACAUCUA